AACAAGGGGUGCUGGCGGACCGGCCGGCUGAGAAUGAGCUCGCGGCUCUAAACCCUGAAACCUGAUCCGGAUAAUACCGGCGGAGGGAUGUUUUC
rnacentral:ncRNA from 1 species